UACGAAGGGGGCUAGCGUUGCUCGGAAUCACUGGGCGUAAAGCGCACGUAGGCGGCUUUCUAAGUCAGAGGUGAAAUCCUGGAGCUCAACUCCAGAACUGCCUUUGAUACUGAGAAGCUUGAGUCCGGGAGAGGUGAGUGGAACUGCGAGUGUAGAGGUGAAAUUCGUAGAUAUUCGCAAGAACACCAGUGGCGAAGGUGGCUCACUGGCCCGGUACUGACGCUGAGGUGCGAAAGCGUGGGGAGCAAACAGG
rnacentral:rRNA from 1 species